CUCUACAAAAAAUAUCGAAAUAAUUUGGUAUGCCAAAUCCACCACACGGGGAGAGUGAGGAUCUGUUUCGCUCAAGAAAACAAAAAAAAGAAGGGGCCCGAGGUCGUAGCAGCUCUGGAUGAUUUUGACGAUGGGAAGAGGAGAAAGAAGAUGACAUCUAGGCAAUACUCCGCAAUACAGAAAUAUAAUAGCAUAUCUGAAGUGCAUAGAAUGGCGUAUUUCUGAGAACCUAAGAGUUAUAAUAGCGUAUCUCAAUUCUCAGAAUAGGUGAGUGCUAAUGGUAUUUUUCGGAGCCGUCAAAAUUGUGAUGGCAACGAUCAGAAAAUCAAAAAAGAAUGGACAAUUAAGGUAUUUCAGGUUCUUCCUACUUCCUCUUCCUCUCCGCAGCAAAAUUUCAGCCGCAUAUAUGGCAUUUCUCCUACUUCAGGGACCUGU
rnacentral:lncRNA from 7 species